rnacentral:sRNA from 1 species
UCCUAGCCCAGAUAGCAGUGGAAAUCCUUUAUUAUUUUUUCUUAAAAAAUAAUAAAGAUUGAAACGGAUAGCGGGACACGAG